rnacentral:piRNA from 1 species
UGUGAUGCCAGGAAACUCUGUUAAAUGGU